GGUGGGAACAGUUCAGUGGUAGAGCACGUGCUUAGCAUGCAUGAGGUCCUGGGUUCAAUCCCCAGUACCUCCA
rfam:Camelus ferus unplaced genomic scaffold scaffold598, whole genome shotgun sequence.